UUAUAUAAAUAUAAACAAUGUUGGAAAGUUUUGUAGUUUGCUUGAAGCAUUGUUUAUUGUUUGUGAAAUAUAAAAUGUCUUGAAUGGCAAAACAAUGCAGGGUGGACUGUUAUAAUAUCUGUUAUGUUUUAAUUAUUCAUAGCCUGA